ACUGAACUGGACUGCACAUUAAAUCAGCGGAAUUAUUGAACUAGAUGAAAAUUGAAGGAUUAUUGUCUAAUACUACAAUGCAGUCGUCCAGGCUUUCAAUUGAAUAAGUUAGGAUUUUUAGUGAAUGCAUCGCUUAAAUUUAAAACAAUUUUGUGAAGUUCGAGAAAUCUACUUUUUUCGUCAUUUCAUGAACUAACAUUCAUGCUAAAUACGAUUUUCCCAAGUCUAGUGCAAUAUCAAUUUGAGCUCUAAGCUUAAAUGUUAUCUUUUAAAGUUGACGUUUUGACAGUUAGUAUUACAUGGGGCCAACUGCUUUGAUAAAAUCUUAAAACCAGCAAAUUCAAAACAAUUUAAGCACAAUGAAAUUGAUUUACUGAGGUUACACGCUUAAAUCUUAAAACAGAGUGACUGGUAAUUAUUGUUGCAUCCGAAUGGAGGUACAAAUUUACCUGAGUUUCAGUCCCAAAUGAAGUUAACAAAUCAUUCCUUAUCGAGCUAUUCUAUAAUUGAUAUGAAAAAUUCAUUGUGAAAUGUUUCAAAAGAUCAACAACAAAAUAUGUAAUCGAUUGUUUUUCGGCGAUGUGAAAAAAAUGUUUGCAAAUUCAAUAGAAAAGCAUGUUUUGACCCGCCUUGCCAUUUAAAAUCUAGCUGCAAAAAUGAAGUCUAAUUUCACCUCUAACGCUAUUUGCCUAUCACUCUGUAAAAACGCUGAGCUGAUAACAUUUGCAAACAUGUUCCAUAUAAAAGCUCAAAAGUCUGUGACGGCAAACUCAGUUGGCAUUUGUUGCAACGAACUUUGUCGAAAUGAAGCUAAAUAUUUUUCUAGUUCUGGCCAUUGCUUUGCUGGCGCUUUUCGGGUGCCACGCUGCACCGAAUGCAUUGCUCGAUAAGGAAUUGAGGGAAAAGCGUUCCCCUUCGGAUAUGGUAGAGCGAUCUGCGGACCAAGUCAAGAAUCUUUGUGAUGACCAUGGAUGCAACAUAAUCAUAUGAACAGUGUACCAAAAAUAUCUUGUUUGAUAUGAUACAAAAGUAAUAAAACUGUCAAUGAUAAUAAAAUGAGCACUACAAAA